rnacentral:rRNA from 1 species
UAGAGUUUGAUCCUGGCUCAGGAUGAACGCUGGCGGUAUGCUUAACACAUGCAAGUCGAACGAAAGUUUUUAACUUUAGUGGCGAACGGGUGCGUAAUACGUGAGAAUCUGCCCUUAGGAUGAGUAUAACUGCUGGAAACGGCUGCUAACACUCAAUAUGUCGAGAGAUGAAAUAAUUUAUUGCCUAAGGAUGAGCUCGCGCCUGAUUAGCUAGUUGGUGAGGUAAUGGCUCACCAAGGCCACGAUCAGUAGCUGGUUUGAGAGAACGAUCAGCCACACUGGGACUGAGACACGGCCCAGACUCCUCCGGGAGGCAGCAGUGAGGAAUUUUCCGCAAUGGGCGAAAGCCUGACGGAGCAAUACCGCGUGAGGGAUGACGGAUUUUGGUCUGUAAACCUCUUUUCUCAAGAAAGAAGUUCUGACGGUACUUGAGGAAUAAGCAUCGGCUAACUCCGUGCCAGCAGCCGCGGUAAUACGGGGGAUGCAAGCGUUAUCCGGAAUCAUUGGGCGUAAAGCGCCUGUAGGUUGUUUAAUAAGUCUGUUGUUAAAGACUAGGGCUUAACCCUAGAAAAGCAAUGGAAACUACUAGACUAGAGUAUGGCAGGGGUAGAGGGAAUUUCUAGUGUAGCGGUGAAAUGCGUAGAUAUUAGAAAGAACACCGGUGGCGAAAGCGCUCUACUGGACCAUUACUGAC